CUGGAAUCGCUAGUAAUCGUAGAUCAGCAUGCUACGGUGAAUACGUUCCCGGGUCUUGUACACACCGCCCGUCACACCACGAGAGUUUGUAACACCCGAAGCCGGUGGAGUAACCUUUUAGGAGCUAUCCGUCGAAGGUGGGACAAAUGAUUGGGGUGAAGUCGUAACAAGGUAGCCGUAUCGGAAGGUGCGGCUGGAUCACCUCCUUU
rnacentral:rRNA from 1 species